GUCAAUGUGCAGUCUAAACAUGUGACAGAUGCAGAGAAAACUUCAAAGAUGCCAUUACAAAUGCCUGUGGAGAUAUUUAAGGAGCCAGAUGCUACUGUUUCAUGUCUUCCGCAGCUCUGAAUGUGUCCUGUGAUCACCUUCCAAAGAGGAGGUGUGGUUCGAUAUGGGAGAUCCCCUUAGUAUUUGAAGAAUACAGGCUUCCAAAAAAAAUCUCUUGUACUAUACCAACCAUGAUUAUUUAUGGGUCAGAUAAAACACAGAUACCUCAGUUUUACGCAGAAGAAAUCUGGUACAUUUUACCUGUCUAUACUUCUUUGAUUUGAAGUCUUCACCACGAAAAUCUUGGAGAACAUUUCAAGAACAGUCUUCCUUCUGUCUUCGAACAAGAGUGUCAAGGACCCUUCAGUGAAG
rnacentral:lncRNA from 1 species